UACAUUACGGCACGUCUGCGUCAACACGUGAUUGCCAUGUCAGGAUUGGAGGUGAAGGAGCUCAGAGAAGUCCUACUUCUCGUGAGAAAUCCUGUCAUGCCUGGAAGUCAUGUGUCCUGCUUUUGUGUCUUCUUCCACGUCACAAUGAUGUUCAUUCUCCUCCAACCUGUUAGUUAUACGCAAAUCAAAUAGUCUGCAGUCCCUGUCCCAGUGGAGCUCUCUCAUCCUUUCUCUUUUGAAUCACUUAUCUGGAGGAACCAGCUUUCUUAUCCUGAGGACACCCAAGCAGCCCUAGAAGAGGCUCUCAAGCUGAGGGACUGCGUCCUGCC
ensembl:lncRNA